rnacentral:rRNA from 1 species
UACGUAGGUGGCAAGCGUUGUUCGGAAUUACUGGGCGUAAAGCGCACGUAGGCGGAUUGUUAAGUCAGGGGUGAAAUCCCGAGGCUCAACCUCGGAACCGCCUUUGAUACUGGCAAUCUCGAGUCCGGAAGAGGUGAGUGGAAUUCCUAGUGUAGAGGUGAAAUUCGUAGAUAUUAGGAAGAACACCAGUGGCGAAGGCGGCUCACUGGUCCGGUACUGACGCUGAGGUGCGAAAGCGUGGGGAGCAAACAGG